GACAGAGGGUGCAAACGUUGUUCGGAAUUACUGGGCGUAAAGCGAGUGUAGGCGGUCUGAUAAGUCGGGUGUGAAAGCCCCGGGCUCAACCCGGGAAGUGCACUCGAAACUGACAGGCUAGAGUAUCGGAGAGGUUGGUGGAAUUCUCGGUGUAGAGGUGAAAUUCGUAGAUAUCGAGAGGAACACCGGUGGCGAAGGCGGCCAACUGGACGAAUACUGACGCUGAGACUCGAAAGCGUGGGGAGCAAACAGG
rnacentral:rRNA from 1 species